rnacentral:miRNA from 1 species
UGUGUAUGUGUGCAUGCACAUGUGUGUGUAUGUAGAUAGAGGUGCAUAUGUACACAGAUAUGCAUA